AACGAACGCUGGCGGCAUGCCUAACACAUGCAAGUCGAACGAGACCUUCGGGUCUAGUGGCGCACGGGUGCGUAACGCGUGGGAACCUGCCCUUAGGUUCGGAAUAACUCCCCGAAAGGGGUGCUAAUACCGGAUAAUGUCUUCGGACCAAAGAUUUAUCGCCUUUGGAUGGGCCCGCGUUGGAUUAGCUAGUUGGUAGGGUAAAAGCCUACCAAGGCGACGAUCCAUAGCUGGUCUGAGAGGAUGAUCAGCCACACUGGGACUGAGACACGGCCCAGACUCCUACGGGAGGCAGCAGUGGGGAAUAUUGGACAAUGGGCGAAAGCCUGAUUCAGCAAUGCCGCGUGAGUGAUGAAGGCCUUAGGGUUGUAAAGCUCUUUUACCCGGGAUGAUAAUGACAGUACCGGGAGAAUAAGCUCCGACUAACUCCGUG
rnacentral:rRNA from 1 species